GAUCAUAUACUGCUUUCACAUGUUGAUAUUCUUUCCUUGAAUUCAUCUCUUCGUAUAUAAUAGUAUUGGGGUUGAAGGAAUCUUUUUAACUGCUUGCUUAUGCAUUCCUCAUAUGAAAUGAAAUGUGUUGGAAUGAGAAAGGUGACAACAAAGAAAUCACUGAAGCAAUUUCUGCAUUCUCUAUGUGAUGAUUUACUCUUUUAAUAUAGAGGUAGGUGUCAUCUUUCAUUAUCAAAUAAAUACUUUACUAAAGCUCAAAGCUCUUUCACUGUACCCAUUAAUUCAUUACAUUUAAGAAAUUCCACUCAAUAAAACAAUAUUAGUUU
rnacentral:misc_RNA from 1 species